GCGGCAGUAGCUCAGUUGGUAGAGCUUUAGCUUCCCAAGCUAAAGGUCGCGGGUUCGAGUCCCGUUUGCCGCUCCA
rnacentral:tRNA from 3 species